CAAUACGUGAACUUUUGGAGCUAGUGAACCUGAAAGAGUUUGGUGUAAAUGACAAAGUGAUCUCCAUCGUGGGAUGUCCAGGUCUAGGGAAGACCACGCUCGCAAAAGCAUUCUCUGACCUGGAAAUGAUACGGGAAAGGUUCAACCCGCCUGUUUGGGUUUCGGCAUCAAAAUGCCGCAGCGCACAGGACCUUCUUAGGGAUGAAAACGGUCGGAAACAAUCGGUAAACACUAAAACCAUUACCGUUUUCAUAUUUUUUAUCGGAAACAAAAUCGAAAACGGUAACUCCGGAAACGGAAACGAUAUCGGUAUUUCGGAAACAUCGGAAACGAAAGUUUGGUGCGGAAAAUACAUAGGUAACGGUCGGAAUCUAAAAUACAAUCGGUAAAUAUAUCAAACUUCAUAAUACAACAAAGUUGACAAAAGAUCACAAAGACCACAAGUUCACAAUUCAUGAUAUAACAAGUUCACAAUAUAAAAAGUUCACAAGGAUCACAAAUUUAUAAUAUAAAAAGUGUACAAAGAUCAUGUCGGAGAGGAAAUCUCCGGCCGGGUGGCGGAGUGCACCCGCCCUAAAUCCUAAGAUGAGGAGGGGCCUAAGCGUUUUGCUUGUUAGUUGGAAGAUGGGAAGGAACACAAGAACACACAAGGAUUUAGAGUGGUUCGGGCCGCCGGGGCGUAACACCCUACUCCACUGUGUGAUGUAUUGCUUGAGAGCUUGUAUGAACUUGUGAGUGUCUGAGUGAGCCUAAGAUUGGAUGUGACCUCCCUUUCCCUCCUCCUUGUAACGUCGCAUGCCUCCCCUUUUAUAGCUAAAGGGGGGCAUGCACAAAGGUAUCGAGCCCCGACAUGUGGGCCCAGGGGCAUAAUGAAUAUACCACUUGGAGCUACAAAUGUUCGCUGCUAGAGCAAUCUUCUUGUGCCCUGACAUCCGAGAUCUGCAUAUCCUCGGCGUGCAGGGGAAGCUUCUUGUAUAAGGGACAACGAGCACAGUGCGCCACACGACACGGGCAUACUGUUUGUCAACAGACUAGACAGGCGCGCCGUCUGCUGGAUGACCCUGACAUCGUCUGCUAGCGGAGUGGAUAGGACGCAUUAAAUGCUGAGAGGGCACGUCGCUCGUCAGCGUGGUGGCAGCAGCGGGUCUCCGCCUAAGCGGGGAGCGUAGGGCAAGGCCUGGACACGUGCCAGCAUCGGACCCCUACUCAUGCCGGGGUCCUCCUCGUCCGGGACCUUGCUAAGGCCCGGACCUUAAUCGGAGGGACCUAGGGCCCACCCGAGGGACCCGACAUGCCUUCUUGGGGGAGCUCCGGACUUGUACGUACAUGGAUCCGGUGUCCCUCUGUGGAGGUUCGGACCCAACGAUGCAUCCUGGGAUGUAUUAUCCUUCCUUGCCACGUGGUGCUCUUAGACCUGCCCAUGUGGUAGGGUCGGGUUCCAUUCUCCGUGUGGCCUGGAGGCGUUGUAUGGGUGCAGCGUCUUCAUACUGUAGAAGUACCCCUGAUUGAGGGUACCGACAGAUCACAAGUUCACAAUAUAACAAGUUUGCAGUAUAACAAGUUCAUAAAGACCACAAGUUCAUAGACUCAAAGUUCACAAUUCACAAUAUCCACUCGAUCUAGCUCACAUGGCAUGCUUACUUAUGAAAUAUUUUUUCCUCACAUAAAAAGUUUUUCACAACCUCACAGGAAAACCCUAAAACCUAGUGUGUGAAAAAGACCAAAUCGUUAAUCUCAACUGCCUUCCAACACCAUCUAUCCAAAAAAACUAAAGGUGUCCAAAAAAUACAAAAAUAAGUAAUCCUUAUCUAGAGACGUACAGGCGAUGCGAAAAAUCACAUGCUGGAAAAUUCCGAAAAAUUCCGAGACACAAUUCUGGAAAAUUCCGAGACACAAAUCCGGUAAUUUCCGACAAAAACCAGUAACCGAAGGAAACGGUCGGCAAAACACCACGCCAAUUUCGAUACCGAUUCCGAUAGAAAAUUCCGAAAACCGAUUUCGUUUUCGAAAAACACCGUUACCGAUGAAUCUGACCAAAAAAAUUCGAAAUCAAUUUCCGGAAUACCGUAAAAUUCUGAAACCGUUUUCAUCUCUAGACCUUCUCAUCAAGGUUAUACGACAAGCUUCUCAUGUUCAUCCAGCAGAAAUGAUAAGUGCUACCCCCAAUAUAGAUCUACUGCAAACUAUCCUAGCACAGGAAAGGUACUCGCUCCACACCACCACCCAUGCUUAUUACCUCUAUAUCCACCCUGCCUGGGUUUACUUCUCUCUCUCUCUCAGUCAUGCACACAAAAAAAUUUAACAAAAAGAAUAAGUAGA
rnacentral:lncRNA from 1 species